UGUGUAAAAAUAGGCGGCCCGGUAGUCCAGUGGUUAGCACGUCGGCUUCACAGUGCAGAGGUACCGGGUUCGAUUCCAGCUCCGGCCUCCCUGUGUGGAGUUUGCAUGUUCUCCCCGGGCCUGCGUGGGUUUUCUCCGGGUGCUCCGGUUUCCUCCCACAUUCCAAAAACAUGCGUGGCAGGCUGAUUGAACACUCUAAAUUGUCCCUAGGUGUGAGUGUGACGUGGAUGGUUGUUCGUCUCUGUGUGCCCUGUGAUUGGCUGACAACCGAUUCAGGGUGUCCCUGGCCUACUGCCCGAAGACAGCUGGGAUAGGCUCCAGCACCCCCCGCGACCCUAGCGAGGAUCAAGCGGUUCGAAAGAUGAA